AGUGAAUAGAUACCCGGGUAGUCCUAGCCGUAAACGAUACUCGCUAGGUGUCGGCCACGGUGCGACCGUUGUCGGUGCCGUAGGGAAAGCCGUGAAGCGAGCCACCUGGGAAGUACGGCCGCAAGGCUGAAACUUAAAGGAAUUGGCGGGGGAGCACCACAACGGGUGGAGCUUGCGGUUUAAUUGGAUUCAACGCCGGAAAUCUUACCGGGACCGACAGCAAUAUGAAGGCCAGGCUGAAGACUUUGCCGGAUUAGCUGAGAGGUGGUGCAUGGCCGUCGUCAGUUCGUACUGUGAAAGCAUCCUGUUAAGUCAGGCAACGAGCGAGACCCACGCCCACAGUUGCCAGCGUACUCUCUGGAGUGACGGGUACACUGUGGGGACCGCCGCUGCUAAAGCGGAGGAAGGAAU
rnacentral:rRNA from 1 species